rnacentral:rRNA from 1 species
AUUGAACGCUGGCGGCAGGCCUAACACAUGCAAGUCGAGCGGAGCGGCGGACGGGUGAGUAAUGCCUAGGAAUCUGCCUGGUAGUGGGGGAUAACGUCCGGAAACGGGCGCUAAUACCGCAUACUAUCAGAUGAGCCUAGGUCGGAUUAGCUAGUUGGUGGGGUAAAGGCCUACCAAGGCGACGAUCCGUAACUGGUCUGCGAGGUUGAUCAGUCACACUGUAGCUGCAGCAUGGUCCAGACGCCUACGGGGGGCAGCAGUGGGGAAUAUUGGACAAAGGGCGAAAGCCUGAUCCAGCCAUGCCGCGUGGGUGAAGAAGGUCUUCGGAAUGUAAAGCACUUUAAGUUGGGAGGCGUGACAAACAGAAUAAGCACCGGCUAACUGCGUGCCAGCAGCCGCGGUAAUAC